rnacentral:rRNA from 1 species
GUAGGUGGCAAGCGUUGUCCGGAAUUAUUGGGCGUAAAGCGCGCGCAGGGCGGUCCUUUAAGUCUGAUGUGAAAGCCCACGGCUCAACCGUGGAGGGUCAUUGGAAACUGGGGGACUUGAGUACAGAAGAGGAAAGCGGAAUUCCAAGUGUAGCGGUGAAAUGCGUAGAGAUUUGGAGGAACACCAGUGGCGAAGGCGGCUUUCUGGUCUGUAACUGACGCUGAGGCGCGAAAGCGCGGGGAGCAAACAGGAUUAGAUACCCUGGUAGUCCACGCCGUAAACGAUGAGUGCUAAGUGUUAGGGGGUUUCCGCCCCUUAGUGCUGCAGCUAACGCAUUAAGCACUCCGCCUGGGGAGUACGGCCGCAAGGCUG